rnacentral:other from 1 species
CAUACCCUACUAUGUUCGCGAUUGUGGUCAAUCAGUUUUGAGCCAACAUUUGAAAAUCGGGGCUCAAAUUCGCGAAGGUAAAGCGAUAGGCUUCGGCCAAGGCUGAGCCUUCGGAGCGGGUCCCAAUACUGCGUAUGCAGGUUCAAAACAGGAUCACACACGGCAUAGUGGGGUUUUU